GACGAACGCUGGCGGCGUGCUUAACACAUGCAAGUCGAACGGUGAAGCGCUUGCCUUUUUGGUGGGUGUGGAUGAGUGGCGAACGGGUGAGUAACACGUGAGUAACCUGCCCUCUUCUUCUGGAUAACCUCAUGAAAGUGGGGCUAAUACGGGGUAUUCCGGGUCUGUCGCAUGGCGGGUUUGGGAAAGAUUGCGCCUUUGGGUGUUUUCGGUGGGGGAUGGGCUCGCGGCCGAUCAGCUUGUUGGUAGGGUGAUGGCCUACCAAGGCGGUGACGGGUAGCCGGCCUGGGAGGGUGGACGGCCACACUGGGACUGAGACACGGCCCAGACUCCUGCGGGAGGCAGCAGGGGGGAAUAUUGCACAAUGGGCGCAAGCCUGAUGCAGCGACGGCGCGUGAGGGAUGGAGGCCUUCGGGUUGUGAACCUCUUUCGCCAGUGAAGCAGGCCUGCCUCGUUUGUGGGUGGGUUGACGGUAGCUGGAUAAGAAGCGCCGGCUAACUACGUG
rnacentral:rRNA from 1 species